UACGUAGGGGGCAAGCGUUGUCCGGAUUUAUUGGGCGUAAAGAGCGUGUAGGCGGCCAGGUAGGUCUGGUGUGAAAACUCGAGGCUUAACCUCGAGAUGUCAUCGGAAACCAUCUGGCUAGAGUCCGGAAGAGGAGAGUGGAAUUCCUGGUGUAGCGGUGAAAUGCGCAGAUAUCAGGAAGAACACCAAUGGCGAAAGCAGCUCUCUGGGACGGUACUGACGCUGAGACGCGAAAGCGUGGGAGCGAACAGG
rnacentral:rRNA from 1 species